GUACAUGAAGGACUCAAAGUGGAAAAGAAAAACAGAAGUGCAAAGAUAAGGUUAAAGUACUAUGGUGGCAUGUCGGAGUAAACAAUGAGCGACCGGUCAGUAAAAUAAUCAGAGACAGCUCUAAUCAAAUAGCGAUGUAAUAUCCUGCUAUCGUAAGUGCGCAUACCGAUUGAAUGACAAUGUCGUGAUAAUUACAACCGUGCAUGUGCGGAGUGGGCAGUGCACAUGCCGGUAAUGAUGCACAUGAGUUAGGUGAGAUGGUGUGUCCGGCUAUGUACACGAUGUGGGGGAUGCACAUGAGCCAGGUGAGGUGAUGGUGGUGCAUGUGCUUAUAUAUAUAUUGUCACGACCUGGUACUCCAUUCGAGCUUGUGACAACAGCUGUGACGUCCCGAUGGACAUUCAUUGUCCGAAAUUCCAACCGGAACCUCGCAAGGCUUUAAUAUCAAUUUUCGCACCUCCCU
rnacentral:sRNA from 1 species